rnacentral:rRNA from 1 species
UACGGAGGAUGCGAGCGUUAUCCGGAUUUAUUGGGUUUAAAGGGUGCGUAGGCGGUUUUUUAAGUUAGUGGUUAAACGUCGGGGCUUCACCUUGAUUUGCCAUUAAUACUGUAAGACUCGAGUUCAGACGAGGUAGGCGGAAUAAGUUAAGUAGCGGUGAAAUGCUUAGAUAUAUGGAAGAACACCAGUGGCGAAAGCGGCUCUCUGGUCUGUAACUGACGCUGAGGUUCGAAAGCGUGGGUAGCAAACAGG